GGCUCAGGACGAACGCUGGCGGCGUGCCUAACACAUGCAAGUCGAACGAAGUUAACUUUGGAAGUUUUCGGACGGAAGAUAUUAACUUAGUGGCGGACGGGUGAGUAACGCGUGAGCAACCUGCCUUUCAGAGGGGGAUAACAGUUGGAAACGACUGCUAAUACCGCAGUAAUAUAUCGGGAACCGCAUGGUUCUGAUAUCAAAGGAGCAAUCCGCUGAUAGAUGGGCUUGCGUCUGAUUAGCUAGUUGGUGGGGUAACGGGCCUACCAAGGCGACGAUCAGUAGCCGAGCUGAGAGGCUCAACGGCCACAUUGGGACUGAGAUACGGCCCAGACUCCUACGGGAGGCAGCAGUCGGGAAUAUUGCGCAAUGGAGGAAACUCUGACGCAGUGACGCCGCGUAUAGGAAGAAGGUUUCGGAUUGUAAACUAUUGUCAUUAGGGAAGAAAAAGACUGUACCUAAGGAGGAAGCCCCGGCUAACUAUGUG
rnacentral:rRNA from 1 species